UCCGGCUUAUCACCGGCAGUUUCUUUAGAGUGCUCAACUAAAUGGUAGCAACUAAAGACGAGGGUUGCGCUCGUUGCGGGACUUAACCCAACAUCUCACGACACGAGCUGACGACAGCCAUGCAGCACCUGUGUUCCGAUUCCCUUUCGGGCACAACCGCAUCUCUGCGGCCUCUCGGACAUGUCAAGGGUAGGUAAGGUUUUUCGCGUUGCAUCGAGUUAAUCCACAUAAUCCACCGCUUGUGCGGGUCCCCGUCAAUUCCUUUGAGUUUUAGCCUUGCGGCCGUACUCCCCAGGCGGUCAACUUCGCGCGUUAGCUUCGUUACCAAGGAAUUACUUCCCCGACAACCAGUUGACAUCGUUUAGGGCGUGGACUAC
rnacentral:misc_RNA from 1 species